UCAUAAAAUCAGCAACAAAUAUUCCACAAAUCAAGCUAAUAGCAAGAAAUCAGGAGCAAAAUUUUGAAUGAGAUCUUAGGUUGUCUUCCAAUAUAUGAGACGAUGUGCGACCUAGGUUUUUUUUAUGAUUGCGAUUACUCUCUUAACUCCUAAGCCUAAUCGAUCAUUUAUCUACAAUCUACACAGAAAACUGAAAAUUAGCGGAAAAUGAUACAUAUAUCUAAAACCGAUUCAAAACUUACCUGAAGCACAAUAACCAUGAAGCUUAUGAGCCACUGUGAAAUCAGAUAUAUAUUUUUGAGGUUUUGUUUUCAUAACUUGUAAAGGGAAAAAGGUUAAUAGAUCCAACUUUUGUGAAACGGCGCAAAAAUGAUGUUUCUUGGGGUUUUGUUGUUAGAAUUUAUAAAUAAAAAAAUUAGUAUUUGUGCUUUUUCGAUUGCAAAAUAAAAUAGUGAAGUAAAGGAGAUUGCUUUGAAAGGGAGAUACUGAUAAGAGAAGGCGGGACACAGGAUGAAGCCAUAAACUAUGUUGUUGUUGCUGGUGUUCAAUGGUUUCUUGAAGAUAUUCGAUUUGUUCCUUAUAAACCAACAGAUUGAAGGUCUUGAUGGACAUAUUAUUAUGAGCAUACCAACGCUCAUUGGAACAUGAACGGUUAAAUUUAAAAAAAAGAAUAUGAAGAAAAAUGGCAAAAACACCACAAGCUAUUGGCCUUGGUAUCAAAAUAUGGAACAAAUUGUUGAGAAUUGAUUUCCCUUAAAAGUUGUAAUGGAUGAAGAUAUUGCUAUAGGAGGAAUCCAUGGAUAAUGAGUUUUUAGAAAGAAUAAAAAAGAUGCCAAAGGCACAUACAGAAAGAGAAAUGUAGAGCAUUUUGGAUAUCUUCAUCUUCUUAGACGGGAACAACUAGACGACUUAUUUUGGGGUCGUGGAAUUAGCAAGCAACAAGGAUCAUCAAGGAAUGUUGAAUAUAGCACCAACUAAUACUCUGUUGUUCCACUUGUGCAUUACCAAGGGUGAAAGUGGAUUUAUGGAGGAUUCUGAAAUUGUUUUAGAUUAAUGGAGGAUUCUGAGAAUGUUUCGGAAGCUAGAAUUCAAGAAUUCAUAAAUAAUCUUCGGAUUUUAUAUCCCAAAACGCUCUUUUCCAAGUAAUAAUAUAAACUUCUUUGUCACCUUUUCACUUUACAUGUAAGUUUUGAGGAUUUUUUUUAUCUGUUUGGAUGUUUGGUUGACAUGUAGUAGUGAAAUAACUUCUAAUAUAGUGUAUUAUAACAUCUUAUUUUCUAAAUAUACCCACUUAAGGCAGUGAAAAUGCUUUGUAAAUUGGAUGAAACUUCUUUAAAUGGGUUAAUUUUUCAGCCACAAUGUUGAUAAAAAGGAAAGUAGAAUGCUAUAAUUUCGAUAAAU